rnacentral:rRNA from 1 species
AGCAGCCGCGGUAAUUCCAGCUCCAAUAGCGUAUAUUAAAGUUGUUGCAGUUAAAAAGCUCGUAGUUGAAUUUCGGGAUCAAUAUGUCGGUCGUGCCUUCGGUACGUACUGGUAUCAUUGGUUUCUCCUUUCUGACGAACCAUGAUGUCAUUAAUUUGGUGUUAUGGGGAGUUAGGACUGUUACUUUGAAAAAAUUAGAGUGUUUAAAGCAGGCUUUAGCUUGAAUACAUUAGCAUGGAAUAAUGAAAUAGGACGUUCGAACCUAUUUUGUUGGUUUCUAGGAUCAACGUAAUGAUUAAUAGGGAUAGUUGGGGGCAUUAGUAUUCAAUUGUCAGAGGUGAAAUUCUUGGAUUUAUUGAAGACUAACUACUGCGAAAGCAUUUGCCAAGGAUGUUUUCAUUAAUCAAGAACGAAAGUUAGGGGAUCGAAGACGAUCAGAUACCGUCGUAGUCUUAACCAUAAACUAUGCCGACUAGGGAUCGGAUGAUGUUAAUUUUUAAUGUACUCAUUCGGCGCCUUA